rnacentral:rRNA from 1 species
CGGGGCACUGGAUAGUUAGCGGCGAACUGGUGAGUAACACGUAGGUAAUCUGCCGUGAAGUGGGGGAUAACCCAUGGAAACAUGGACUAAUACCGCAUAUACUCUUGCUACAUAAGUAGAGGAGAGGAAAGUUUUUUCGCUUCACGAUGAGCUUGCGGCCUAUUAGCCUGUUGGUAGGGUAAUGGCCUACCAAAGCUACGAUAGGUAGCCGACCUGAGAGGGUGACCGGCCACAUUGGGACUGAGAUACGGCCCAGACUCCUACGGGAGGCAGCAGCUGAGAAUCUUCCACAAUGGACGAAAGUCUGAUGGAGCGACAUCGCGUGAGGGAUGAAGGCCUUCGGGUUGUAAACCUCGGAAAUUAUCGAAGAAUGAGUGACAGUAGAUAAUGUAAGCCUCGGCUAACUACGUGCCAGCAGCCGCGGUAAUACGUAGGAGGCAAACGUUGCACGGAUUUA